UACGGCCACAUCACAUUCAAACACCGGUUCCCAUAAAAUCACCGAAGUUAAGCAAGGUCGAACUUGGUCAGUACCUAGUUGGGUGACCGCUUGGGAAUACCAGAUGUUGUGA